GAACAAGGAGGUCGGGAUCGGCGGCGAAGAAGUUGAGGAAGGAGAGAUCCCGCAGGCCGGCGGCGGGCCGCCGGAGUUGCACCCACUGGAGCACCAGUGGACCUUCUGGUUCGACAACCCCUCCUCCCGCGCCCGCCAGUCCACCUGGGGCAGCGCCAUCCGCCCGAUCCACACCUUCGGCACCGUUGAGGAUUUCUGGGGACUUUAUAAUAACAUAAAUCGUCCAAGCAAGCUGUUGAUUGGAGCAGAUUUUCAUUGUUUCAAACAUGGCAUUGAGCCAAAAUGGGAGGACCCAAUCUGUGCCAA
rnacentral:misc_RNA from 1 species